UCAAUUAUCAAGAACAUACAUUUUUUGCAUUAAAAAAUUAAUAAUAAAAACAAUUCUUCAAAGAGCCAGCUAACAUCAGUCAUUCCAACUAAAAAAUCCAUGAACAACAGAUAAAAAAAAUACAGUUUUGUAUUAAAAAUAUAAUAACAUGCAUUUUUUUGCAUAAAUAAUCCAUCAUCAUACAAUUUUUUCAACAAAAACUUUAACAAUAAAAAUUUAAAAUAUGGUUUAAUACCUCAUGAUAAUUAAAACCUUGUCACGAUUUUCACAUCUUUUCGGAAAAUCAUCAUUUUUCAAAAAAUUCGAUCAUGGAAAAAAAAAUAAAAAAAAUUACAGCAAACUCAAACAAUAAAAAUUAAAAAUU
rnacentral:lncRNA from 1 species